GGUGCCGUGGCUCGGAUGUGUACGGCCUUCUCCCCCCCUCCUCCUCUCCUCCAUGGCCGUCGUGCUCCGGCUUCUCGGCCUCUCCGGGAGCGCUCCGUGGCCGGCGGGCAGCAGCGCACGUCGCGAUCGCCGCGGCUGGCUCCAGUGACCGCGCCCCAGCCCGGCCAUGUACCCCCAGGGCCGGCACCCGGUGAGUCCCG